rnacentral:tRNA from 1 species
GCCGAGAUAGCCAAGCCCGGUAUGGCGGCGGUCUCGAAAACCGCUGGGCCUAGCCCUCGGGAGUUCGAAUCUCUCUCUCGGCGCCA